GGAGCAUGUGGCUUAAUUUGACUCAACGCGGGAAAUCUUACCGGGUCCGGACACACUGAGGAUUGACAGGCAAUAUAUGUGACUCUUCGGAGUUUGCAUUGUUAAAUAUGCUAGUCCUUUCAUGAUUAUGUGAUAGGUGGUGCAUGGCCGUUCUUAGUUCGUGGAGUGAUCUGUCUGCUUAAUUGCGUUUCAAAUUACUUAUAAGGUAGCAAUACGCGAUGAAACUUUCAAUAGUCUCUCACGAGAUUCACUUGAGUCGACUCGCUUCGCUAUCCUUUCGAAUGCAACGAACGUGACCGCAACCUCUUGUUGCCUUCGUUUAACAUCCUGCAGCUCGCUGUGGGUACUGAGGGCUUCACUCGGUGAC
rnacentral:rRNA from 1 species